rnacentral:misc_RNA from 1 species
UAGCAAGUGCCAGCAGCGGGAAGA